GGAAGGAUCAUUAAAGAAUGUAACCUUUUUUGGUGCAAUCUUCUCAUCCCUUUGUCUACAUACUCUGUUGCUUCCAUGGUGCCAGCUAGUUUUAGCUCUGGACAGAUGCUUAAUCUCUUCUGUUUGGAAGUGCCCAUGGGUUUUUGCUAAAAAUAAAUUCUUAUGUGAUAAACAAGUCUGAAAUUAAUAUACAAUAUAAAAACUUUCAACAACGGAUCUCUAGGCUCUUGCAUCGAUGAAGAACGCAGUGAAAUGUGAUGAGUAAUGUGAAUUGCAGAAUCUCGUGAAUCAUUGAAUCUUUGAACGCACAUUGCGCCCUAUGGCUAUUCCGUAGGGCAUGCCUGUCUCAGUGUCAUUUAACACCUCUCAAGCUUUUUUUUGCUUGGAUUACUUGGAGUAUGCAUUGAACAAUUGCAACUCAGGAAACUAUGGGCAGUAUACUAGUGUAUAGCAGAUAGUAAUAGAAUUAUCAUCUGUAGAAGCCAGUAAUACUAGCCAAAAAUCAACUUUUUUAUGGAGUUGACCUGAGAUCAGGUAGGGAUACCCGCUGAACUUAAGCAUAUCAAUAAGCGGAGGAAAAGAAACCAACAGGGAUUGCCCUAGUAACGGCGAGUGAAGCGGCAAAAGCUCAGAUUUGAAAUCUAAUGUUCUCUUGGACAUUCGAGUUGUAAUCUGUAGAGGAGGUCUUUUGAACCAGACAUUGGUUCAAGUCCCUUGGAAGAGGGUGUCAUAGAGGGUGAGAAUCCCGUGCAUGGCCUUUGUUCUGUGUCUUUAUAAGUCUUUCUUCAACGAGUCGAGUUGUUUGGGAAUGCAGCUCUAAAUGGGUGGUAAAUUCCAUCUAAAGCUAAAUACUGGCAAGAGACCGAUAGCGCACAAGUAGAGUAAUCGAAAGAUGAAAAGAACUCUGGACAGAGAGUUAAAUAGUACGUGAAAUUGUUGAAAGGGAAGCACUUGCUACCAGACUCAGGUACGGGCAGAUCAGGUUUCGGUUUCCGGAGCUGCACUCUGUCUUACCGUGGUCAGCAUCAGUUUUCUGCGGUGGGAAAAAGGUGAGGGGAAUGUAGCUUCUCUCCGGAGAAGUGUUAUAGCCUCUUGCUAUUCCCCGCCUGUAGAGACUGAGGAAAGCUCCGUUGGGUCGGAUGCUGACUUAAUGGUCGUAAGUGACCCGUCUUGAAACACGGACCAAGGAGUCUAACAUCUAUGCGAGUAUUUGGGUGAAAAAACCCUUAUGCGAAAUGAAAGUGAAUGUAGGUGGGACUCCGUUAAGGAUGCACCAUCGACCGAUCCUGAUGUUUUCGGACGGAUUUGAGUAGGAGCAUAGCUGUUGGGACCCGAAAGAUGGUGAACUAUGCCUGAAUAGGGUGAAGCCAGAGGAAACUCUGGUGGAGGCUCGCAGCGGUUCUGACGUGCAAAUCGAUCGUCAAAUUUGGGUAUAGGGGCGAAAGACUAAUCGAACCAUCUAGUAGCUGGUUCCGGC
rnacentral:misc_RNA from 1 species